UGAGGUAUAAAAGUAUAAAUUAUCCUGUUCUAGCAACUUUUUUCUGUUUUCUACGCCUUUCGCUCCCUUUUCUCCUCUCUUUUCAUUUUCUACUGUUCUCUCCCUCCAGUUUCUCUCUCUUUCGCCGGUGAAUCUCCUUUUCCUCUUGCCGGAAAAGUCCUCGACGUCCUCCAACUACCGCCGUCUUCCGCCUUAGAGAUUCUCACUUUAUUGCCGCUUGCGUGUUCUUGUCGCUUUCUUUCGAUUCCACUCCAGAGCCUCUGGAUCUCUGAAUCUGACUCUCCUUCUUCUGGUUCUUCGCCUCUUUCGAGAAUGUGGUCCGCCUCCUCCUCCUUUCGCCCUUGCACUUGACUGCUCCUGCCUGGAUUGUGAUCUAGGGUUUCGGUUUCUGGAUUUCCGGUUUGUGUUUGUUAUUGUAUUGUUUUUUUUUUUUUUGUUCUGCGGUUGGUGCUGUUUCGGUGAAGUGAGCGAAGACGGAGGCGUGAAGGUAGAAGACGCAGCUCCGGGAUGAGAUAGUGGAGGGAAGAAUUUGCAUAUCGGGAGAGGACAGAAAUGGGUUAGAUGUUCUGUAGCGCAAGAGGCUUCAGCUAAUGAAUUGUGAAGCUACCAACAAAACUGCAGCUGUCAAGAAAAUGAUGAAUAGAAGUGGAGGUGAUGCUUUAAGGGCUUCACCUCCAUGUGGUGUGAGAUUACUUGGUGGCAAUUCAGAAACUUUUUCUCGUUCAAGUGGCAUGUCAAAUGAGAGGGAUGUCUUUUCGAAAAGGAGAGUAGAUAAGUUUGAAUACGAUGAUUUAGAGUGGACCGAGAAGAUUCCAGAAUGCCCUGUAUAUUCUCCGUCAAAGAAGGAGUUUGAGGAUCCUUUGAUCUAUUUGCAAAAGAUAGCUCCAGAAGCCUCAAAAUACGGCAUAUGCAAGAUUGUCUCGCCACUUGCUGCUUCUGUUCCUGCCGGGGCUGUAUUAAUGAAGGAGAAACCAGGGUUCAGGUUUACAACGAGAGUACAACCUUUUCGCUUUGCUGAAUGGAAUACUGAUGAUCAGGUUACCUUCUACAUGAGUGGCAGGAACUAUACAUUUCGCGAUUUUGAAAAAAUUGCGAACAAGAUAUAUGCUCGUAGAUAUAGUAGUUCUGGAUGUCUACCUGCCUCAUAUUUGGAAAAGGAAUUUUGGCGUGAAAUUGCUAGUGGGAAGACAGAAAGUGUUGAAUAUGCUUGCGAUGUUGAUGGUAGUGCCUUUUCAUCUUCUCCAACUGAUGAGCUUGGGACAAGUAAAUGGAAUUUAAAGAAUCUUUCACGGCUACCCAAGUCCAUAUUGCGCCUUCUCGAAACUCCAAUUCCGGGAGUCACGGACCCCAUGCUCUAUAUUGGAAUGCUGUUCAGUAUGUUUGCUUGGCAUGUGGAAGAUCAUUAUCUAUACAGUAUUAAUUAUCAUCAUUGUGGGGCAUCUAAAACUUGGUAUGGCAUUCCUGGUCAAGCAGCUUUGCAGUUUGAAAAUGUGGUCAGGGAGCAUGUAUACACUAGCGAUAUCUUAUCCACUGGUGGAGAGGAUGGAGCAUUUGAUGUUCUUCUGGGGAAAACAACGUUGUUUCCACCAAGUAUUUUGUUGGAUCAUGAGGUGCCUGUAUACAGAGCUGUCCAGCAACCUGGGGAGUAUGUAAUUACCUUCCCCAGAGCAUAUCAUGCUGGAUUUAGUCAUGGCUUCAAUUGUGGUGAAGCAGUAAACUUUGCAAUGGGUGAUUGGUUCCCUUUGGGAGCUGUUGCCAGCCAGCGGUAUGCUCUUCUAAACAGGAUGCCUCUAAUUCCUCAUGAAGAGCUUCUAUGUAAAGAGGCAAUGCUUCUCUACACAAAUUCAGAAUUUGAAGAGCAACAUUAUGCGUGUGUAGAGUUAGACUCUCAUUAUUCUGUUAAGACUUCUUUUGUACGUAUGAUUCGCUUCCAGCAUCGUGCUCGAUGGGCUUUGAUGAAAUCGAGAACGUGCACUGGCAUUUCACCAAAUUGCCAUGGAACCAUCCUUUGCAGCUUAUGCAAACGUGACUGCUAUAUAUCAUAUAUUAACUGCAGUUGUUAUGGACAUCCAGCGUGUCUUCGUCAUGAUAUCAAAUCUCUGAACUUCUCAUGUGGUAGCAACCGUACACUCUUCUUGUGUGAGGAUAUUUUAGAAAUGGAAUCUGCAGCUCAAAAAUUUGAGCAGGAAUGUGGAACAUUGGAUGAGAUUCAUGGACAAACUUAUAAUGGUGAAGAAUUAUAUUCUUAUCCUAUGUUAAAUUCAUUUAAACGAGCUGAUGUGGAUGGAUACACUCCUUAUUGCAAGAUAGAAGUGCAGUUGAAUUCUGAAUUUACUACUGCUGCUGCUUCUCUUUGUCGCUUGGGAGAAAAUGAGGGUGUUUCCUGUAGCCAACCUACUCAAAGUUGUAUCACCGAAAACCAUAGACCUGAACCAUCAGAUCCUUCUCUCUCUUGUGAAGCAUCAACUCUUUGUUCAGUUGUAGACUACAAUGAAUCAUUGUCCACAACUAGCCAUGUACAAAGAAAUUCAAGUUUUGAGCAGUCCUCCGAAAUUUCUGUCUGUGCACUUGAAACAUCGCCUAACAAUUGCUCGAGUACAUCUCCGGGCAAUAUACGUGCAUUGGAGAUCACCACAAUAUUAGAACAAGAAAGUGAUGAUUCUGAUGCAGAAAUUUUUAGGGUUAAGCGUCGCCCUCUGAAGCUAAAUAAAAAGACAGGGAGCGAUGCCACAUCUUUAAAGCAUUUUGCUGGCCAGGAUGGCCGCAAACGAUUGAAGAGACUCCAAACAAAUGGGAAUUCUGAGCAACUAACGCCAUGGGAUUGUCGUGGAACUGACAAAUCACGUUGUAAAUUCUACCCUUCUACUACGCAUAAAGACUCUGCAAGUGAUGCGAUCGGUAAAUCUAGCAAAGGGACCAUUCCCAUCUCUGCGAAGUACAAGAGAUUCAUCGACGAGAAACUAGUAAAUAGACAGCGCGACUAUGAACUUGACAAUCACAGGAGGGAAAGGUUUCAGCAUGAGAUGAUGAAAAAGCCCAAACGGCUACCUCCCUCUAUGGAGAUUGGGUCAAAGCGUCUCAAAAUCAGAGGCCCAACAUUCUUGGGGCCGGAUGAACCAAUAGUUUAAUGCAUCACAAUGGGCCUGAAGCUGGGCUGCGCUGGGCCUUGCCUCUAUUUCUGUACAGCAGCAUAUGAUAGAGCCUUGACAUAGCUAAUCUUAUUCUUCACUAAUGGGGGGUUCUAACAACACACGAAGGAAGAAGCCAUAGAUGAAUUUGAUGAUUAAUCUUCUGGGAGCAGUGAUACAAAAUUUAACGUCUAGGAAGCAACAUUUUAACAUUCUUUGUGCAGGCCUUAAAAAAUCGAGGCCAUUUGCACACACGGGUGGUGGUGAUGAUGAUUCUUGAAGGUAACCCAAGUCGGUACAGAGCCAUUUAUCCGCCGUCCUGGGAACAACCUUUGCUGCAGCAGCUGCUCUGCUUUAAGCAGAGAGACAAUUGGGGUCUCAUAUUCUUGUGGGGGCAAAAGGCAAAGCGCUGCUCCCAAUCAAUCCCAGGUAAAGGACAUUAUCUGAGUGAAUGAAUUGGUCAUAUUAUUUUAUUCUGUUUUGGGGAUGGAUGAUUGGUUGCGUGGGACAAAACUAUCCCCCACUCCCAAUCAUUUCCAACCUUUUUUUCCCCCUAAAGAUGAAAAGAGAAUAUAUCUAUGGUUUGAAUGGUGGGAUGGUAUGAAACCAGAAUUUUUAGAAUGAGAAAGGAACCUUUUCUUGCUUUGAAAAUAGGUCAUCAGUCCCCAAUUAUAUGAGUGUUGGGUUAUGUUAACUACCGCCACCACUGUCUUGGAGUUAGUCCACUAUUUGAAUUUGCUGUCUCU